rnacentral:misc_RNA from 1 species
GAACCUUUCUACGUCCUCCAUCUUGGAGGAUGUAAUAGGGUCAUCAAUAAGCACAAUCCCCUUGACAAUUUCAGAGUUUUCUGAGUAUCUCUUAUAGCUAUGAAAAUUUAAAGGGAAAAAAACUUAUGAACUGAGAGGAUCUUGGGUUAUCAGAGUGGACAUCAGGACCUAAGUGUUCAUGAUGAAAUUAAGCAAGAAAUGUUGAUCAUCAGAUGAUGCUCUGGCAGAGCCUUUAAAAGGAGUAUUAGUCAACUUGAGGUCCAUGCUUCAAGCUAAGCUUCUCUUCCAGCUAGAAUGGUUUCUGAGCUGACUUGCACGGGGAAGUACAUGAG